rnacentral:lncRNA from 1 species
UUGAAUUGAAUUUAAGUCUAGUGAGUUGCAAUGUUGAGAGAAAAGAGAUAUAAUUUGUUGGUUUGCAGUGUGAUGUGCCCAAAGGGGAAGUGGUGGACAUAGUUUGAAGCCAAAUCCAUCCCCAAGGAAAGGGCAAAUUAAAGUACCAUAUGCAUAUGCAUAUGCCUAUGCCUGCACUUUCAAAACGCGACUCAGUACUCCCAUCUCAUCAUCUCUCACGUUUCAUCUUUCU